CGCGAGCUGGUUCUUAAAACUUUGCUCAGAAGUGAAACACUUCGGAGAGUUCUCGUCAAGAUGGCGCUGUGAGCAGACGUUGAACUCGCCUCCUCCCACGAACACAACCAGGUUACAACAAUUUUGGGAAGAAUCACCCUGGAUUGAAAACUGAAAACUGGAUAAAAAGAACCCCCACGACAAGGGACAGUCCUGACGAAAGCAGAAGAGGCAGUACCUCCGGCCGGAGAGGAAAAAAGCCACCUUUGGGAGCAGUGGAGCUUCUCAACUGGCCAGGCAGGAGCCAACCUAAGAAUGUCUAGUACAGUGCAUGGCACAUGAUAGAAGGAGAGCUCUUAAUGCCAGGUGGGAAAACAAAGCUAUGUAUAAACUUCUCCCACUGGCCCAGCAGUGACAGGCUCAGCUCACGAGGCCACGGAAGAAACACAUUCUGUGAGGUUGCCAUCAGCAGAAAAGCUUCCAAACUGCCUUUCCUCAAUCGAUGUUUGAAUGCACUCAAGGCGGCUUUACCCACAGCACUGCUCAAACAAUUCCAUGAUAACAUUCAUUUAUCAUCUUGGCAAGGAUGAGCCCAAUGGUGAAAUGGAUAUCUGCUUUCAUAAGACUCCCUGAAAGAAUCUCAAUGGCUCAUAGAGGUCCGUGGACUAAACUUUGUGAACCACUGAUCUUCAUUUAUAUUGUUGAGCUGGGAUGGUGUGAAGACUGGGGUCGGCUGAGACGAUUGAGUGGCGUGUCUCGACCAGGCUUCUCCAUAUAGCUUGGGUUUCCUUACAGCAUGACAGCUUCAGUGUGAGUGAACAUCUUAAAUGGUAUCUUAGUGGAUGUCACAGCAAGCAAGGCGGAAGCUGAAUGGCCUUGUAUGAUAUAGCUUCUGCAGUGACAUAGCAUAAUGUUCAUCAUAUUCUAUUGUUUACCCACAAGCUCAACAGGAGGAGGCACAUAUUCCCACCUCUCAAUGGGAGGAGUACUAAAGAAUUUGCAGCCAUGUUUUAAAAUUUCCAAAGGCUGAUUUUGGCCACAAAUUAUUUACAUUACUCCAUUAUGCAAAGUACACUCACCCUUCCAAGACCUCUAUCAAAAUCUCAUCCCAUUAAAGAAUUAGGCGCAAGAUUCACAAUCUUAUUGUAUAAAUCAGGUCCAGGUGUAGAUGAGGAUCCUUGGGUUUGGUCCCUUGGUGUCAUUCCUCUUGAUUGAAGACUUAUGGUCUAAAGAGACCACUUAUCCGCCCCUUAAUCACCCAGCAUACAAUAAUUGUCAGGCAUAGGAUAGCAUAAUUGACAUUUCAGUUUAAAAAGAAGGGAAGUGGAAGGCACACAGCAGUCAUUCAUCAUUAAUAACUCUAAAUUUUAACAGAGCUCCUCUCACCAGUCCCUCGAUUAGGGUCCAGUUCUCCUUCCUGCUCUCCUACUACUAGCGCUACUACUUGUCUGCCCACUGGCCUUUAAAGUAUGCCGGCUCAUCUUUCCUUUUCCGCGGCAAACACCCUGCAUUUGCAGUGAGGUAGUUUUUCUCAG
rnacentral:lncRNA from 1 species